UUUGAUCGAUUUCUUCGGAAUGAAGUUUUAGUGACUGAGUGGCGGACGGGUGAGUAACGCGUGGGUAACCUGCCUCACACAGGGGGAUAACAGUUGGAAACGGCUGCUAAUACCGCAUAAGCGCACAGUACCGCAUGGUACAGUGUGAAAAACUCCGGUGGUGUGAGAUGGACCCGCGUCUGAUUAGAUAGUUGGUGGGGUAACGGCCCACCAAGUCGACGAUCAGUAGCCGACCUGAGAGGGUGACCGGCCACAUUGGGACUGAGACACGGCCCAAACUCC
rnacentral:rRNA from 1 species